GCUCAGAAACUCAAAUGAAUUGACGGGGGCCCGCACAAGCGGCGGAGCAUGUGGAUUAAUUCGAUGCAACGCGAAGAACCUUACCUGGGUUUGACAUACACCGGAAAACCGUAGAGAUACGGUCCCCCUUGUGGUCGGUGUACAGGUGGUGCAUGGCUGUCGUCAGCUCGUGUCGUGAGAUGUUGGGUUAAGUCCCGCAACGAGCGCAACCCUUGUCUUAUGUUGCCAGCACGUGAUGGUGGGGACUCGUAAGAGACUGCCGGGGUCAACUCGGAGGAAGGUGGGGACGACGUCAAGUCAUCAUGCCCCUUAUGUCCAGGGCUUCACACAUGCUACAAUGGCCAGUACAGAGGGCUGCGAGACCGUGAGGUGGAGCGAAUCCCUUAAAGCUGGUCUCAGUUCGGAUCGGGGUCUGCAACUCGACCCCGUGAAGUCGGAGUCGCUAGUAAUCGCAGAUCAGCAACGCUGCGGUGAAUACGUUCCCGGGCCUU
rnacentral:rRNA from 1 species